rnacentral:rRNA from 1 species
GAUGAACGCUAGCUACAGGCUUAACACAUGCCAGUCGAGGGGCAGCAUGACCUAGCAAUAGGUUGAUGGCGACCGGCGCACGGGUGAGUAACACGUAUCCAACCUGCCGAUUAUUCCGGGAUAGCCUUUCGAAAGAAAGAUUAAUACUGGAUAGCAUAACGAGAAGGCAUCUUCUUGUUAUUAAAGAAUUUCGAUAAUCGAUGGGGAUGCGUUCCAUUAGUUUGUUGGCGGGGUAACGGCCCACCAAGACAUCGAUGGAUAGGGGUUCUGAGAGGAAGGUCCCCCACAUUGGAACUGAGACACGGUCCAAACUCCUACGGGAGGCAGCAGUGAGGAAUAUUGGUCAAUGGACGAGAGUCUGAACCAGCCAAGUAGCGUGAAGGAUGACUGCCCUAUGGGUUGUAAACUUCUUUUAUAGGGGAAUAAAGUGGGCCACGUGUGGCUUUUUGUAUGUACCAUACGAAUAAGGAUCGGCUAACUCCGUG